rnacentral:rRNA from 1 species
UGGUGUAGCGGUGAAAUGCUUAGAUAUCACGAAGAACUCCGAUUGCGAAGGCAGCUUACUGGACUGUAACUGACGCUGAUGCUCGAAAGUGUGGGUAUCAAACAGGAUUAGAUACCCUGGUAGUCCACACAGUAAACGAUGAAUACUCGCUGUUUGCGAUAUACGGCAAGCGGCCAAGCGAAAGCAUUAAGUAUUCCACCUGGGGAGUACGCCGGCAACGGUGAAACUCAAAGGAAUUGACGGGGGCCCGCACAAGCGGAGGAACAUGUGGUUUAAUUCGAUGAUACGCGAGGAACCUUACCCGGGCUUAAAUUGCAACUGAAUAUAGUGGAAACAUUAUAGCCGCAAGGCAGUUGUGAAGGUGCUGCAUGGUUGUCGUCAGCUCGUGCCGUGAGGUGUCGGCUUAAGUGCCAUAACGAGCGCAACCCUUAUCUUUAGUUACUAACAGGUCAUGCUGAGGACUCUAGAGAGACUGCCGUCGUAAGAUGUGAGGAAGGUGGGGAUGACGUCAAAUCAGCACGGCCCUUACGUCCGGGGCUACACACGUGUUACAAUGGGGGGUACAGAAGGCAGCUACACAGCGAUGUGAUGCUAAUCCCAAAAGCCUCUCUCAGUUCGGAUUGGAGUCUGCAACCCGACUCCAUGAAGCUGGAUUCGCUAGUAAUCGCGCAUCAGCCACGGCGCGGUGAAUACGUUCCCGGGCCUUGUACACACCGCCCGUCAAGCCAUGGGAGCCGGGGGUACCUGAAGUGCGUAACCGCAAGGAGCGCCCUAGGGUAAAACUGGUGACUGGGGCUAAGUCGUAACAAGGUAGCCGUACCGGAAGGUGCGGCUG